GACGAACGCUGGCGGCGUGCUUAACACAUGCAAGUCGAACGAUGAAGCCGGAGCUUGCUCUGGUGAAUUAGUGGCGAACGGGUGAGUAACACGUGAGUAACCUGCCCUUGACUCUGGGAUAACUGCGGGAAACUGUAGCUAAUACCGGAUACGACCCUCGGAGGCAUCUCCUGGGGGUGGAAAGAAUUUCGGUCAAGGAUGGACUCGCGGCCUAUCAGCUAGUGGGAGAGGUAAAGGCUCACCAAGGCGACGACGGGUAGCCGGCCUGAGGGGGUGACCGGCCACACUGGGACUGAGACACGGCACAGACUCCUGCGGGAUGCAGCAGUGGGGAAUAUUGCACAAUGGGCGCAAGCCUGAUGCAGCAACGCCGCGUGAGGGAUGACGGCCUUCGGGUUGUAAACCUCUUUUAGCAGGGAAGAAGCGAAAGUGACGGUACCUGCAGAAAAAGCACCGGCUAACUACGUGCCAGCCGCCGCGGUAA
rnacentral:rRNA from 1 species